UACGUAGGGUGCAAGCGUUAAUCGGAAUUACUGGGCGUAAAGCGUGCGCAGGCGGUUCUAUAAGACAGAUGUGAAAUCCCCGGGCUCAACCUGGGAACUGCAUUUGUGACUGUAGAGCUGGAGUACGGUAGAGGGGGAUGGAAUUCCGCGUGUAGCAGUGAAAUGCGUAGAUAUGCGGAGGAACACCAAUGGCGAAGGCAGCUCGCUGGGACGGUACUGACGCUGAGGCGCGAAAGCGUGGGGAGCAAACAGG
rnacentral:rRNA from 1 species